UCCCAAAAUUUCCGGAAGGAUGGUGAGUGUCCUCCUUCUUAUUUUGGAGAGGAAGAUUUCUAGUGGAGGGUGGGUCAGUGGCACACCAGGUUCCAUGCCAAGGUACUCUUAUUUCUCCUAAGAGAAUCGCCGCCCUCAGCUAUAUUGAAGCUGAGGCCUUUGAGACCUAUAUAAUCCCAGGGUGCCGCAAAACAACCGGCUGGGGUAUGGAAAGAAAAUAUUAACACUUCUAUUGAUAUUUUUAUCCUCUCUUAAAACUAUUUUUAUGUGUCUCUUACACUAUACUGAAACAUGAUGUGCAAUAAAUAAUAUACUAAUAUAUGGAGAUUUAUGUUUAACGUUUUGUUUUAAAACUCAGACACAUGAUAAAAAGGGUGAGGAUCACUGCUCUACUGCAUUCCCAAGCCUCUCAACUAUGACCUAUACUUUUUUGCUCUAAUCUUGCUCAGGCCUCUUUUUGACAUCUACAUCCCUUCUACCCUAGUCCCCUAGAACUAUUGUUUCAUGGUCAUCAUACUCUGCAACAUCUCUUCUGGUUUGCUGUCCUUUUCCAGAUAAUCGAGCUCCAGUACUCAUCUUGGACUACACAUAACCCUGGAAACAGCAAUUGGACUGACUGAACUGAGGCCUAAAAAGACCAGGAGGCACCAGAAGUUAUAGAACAACAGAUAGAGCAGCUUGCAGAAGAUGACUGGACCAUGAGGGUGCCAUCCUCAUCAGUGGAAUCAUCCAGUCAGUCAGUCCAGGUGCUCACUGUGCUACUGAGGGGUAGGAAACAGCUGGAAGGGAGGGUUGCUGGAGGAGGGUGCAUCUCCCUUCCUGGCUCCUUCCUUCACUCUCUCUGUUGCCCACCAUGACGUGAGCACUUCCCUCUGCCCUGGCCCUCCUACCAUGCUGCUUCUGUGUUUAAGCCUGCUGAACAUGCACCAAAUUAAACAUGUCCUUUAAAUUGUGGGUGUUUGGUACUUGUCACAGUCAUGAAGAAAGUCAUUAAGAUACUGGGUAAAAGGCAAAAGUAAAAGACAGGGUCCCUUCAUAUUAUUUCUUAAAAUUGCAUGUGGGUUGAGAAUUAUCU